UACCGGCCGGGAUGAAAAGGGAAACCGGUGAAAAUCCGGUGCGGACGCCGCCGCUGUAAGGGUCCGCCGCAACCGUCGGCGAAAGCCGGCCAUUGCAUCUGUAUACUAGGUGCGACAAGGCAGGUUGGGCGUACAAAGGGCCUAAGCCAGAAGACCUGCUCGGGGUAC
rnacentral:ncRNA from 1 species